UGGGAAUAGAGCCAGGCACUCCACCAUGGCAUGGAGGUGUCCAAGGCAGUAUCUCCACCAUUUGACUAAUGCCUACCUCCCUGUUUUGGAGGCUGCAGCA